GUAUGGUAUCUAGCUACAGUAUGGUACCUAGCUACAGCAUGGUAUCUAGCUACAGUAUAGUAUCCAGCUACAGUAUGGUAUCCAGCUACAGUAUAGUAUCCAGCUACAGUAUGGUAUCUAUCUACAGUAUGGGAUCCAGCUACAGUAUGGGAUCCAGCUACAGUAUGGUAUCUAGCUACAGUAUGGUAUCUAUCUACAGUAUGGUAUCCAGCUACAGUAUGGUAUCUAGCUACAUUAUGGUACCUAGCUACAGUAUGGUAUCUAGCUACAGUAUGGUAUCCAGCUACAGUAUAGUAUCCAGCUACAGUAUGGUAUCUAGCUACAGUAUGGUAUCUAUCUACAGUAUGGGAUCCAGCUACAGUAUGGUAUCUAGCUACAGUAUAGUAUCCAGCUACAGUAUGGUAUCCAGCUACAGUAUGGGAUCCAGCUACAGUAUGGUAUCUAUCUACAGUAUGGGAUCCAGCUACAGUAUGGUAUCUAGCUACAGUAUGGUAUCCAGCUACAGUAUGGUAUCUAGCUACAGUAUGGUAUCCAGCUACAGUAUGGUAUCUAGCUACAGUAUGGGAUCCAGCUACAGUAUGGUAUCUAGCUACAGUAUGGUAUCUAGCUACAGUAUAGUAUCCAGCUACAGUAUGGUAUCCAGCUACAGUAUAGUAUCCAGCUACAGUAUGGGAUCUAUCUACAGUAUGGGAUCCAGCUACAGUAUGGGAUCCAGCUACAGUAUGGUAUCUAGCUACAGUAUGGUAUCUAGCUACAGUAUGGUAUCCAGCUACAGUAUGGUAUCUAGCUACAGUAUGGUACCUAGCUACAGUAUGGUAUCUAGCUACAGUAUGGUAUCCAGCUACAGUAUAGUAUCCAGCUACAGUAUGGGAUCCAGCUACAGUAUGGGAUCCAGCUACAGUAUGGUAUCUAGCUACAGUAUGGUAUCUAUCUACAGUAUGGUAUCCAGCUACAGUAUGGUAUCUAGCUACAGUAUGGUAUCCAGCUACAGUAUGGUAUCUAGCUACAGUAUGAUAUCUAGCUACAGUAUGGUAUCUAGCUACAGUAUUGGUUCCAGGGGAGAAAGGUUUCCAUGAAAGGUCUCUUAUAUCCCGCCCAUAGUCACUUGAUGACCCCUGGUUUGCUGCCCAGUCCUUACAGAACCAAAGUUCCCUUUCUUUCGCUCUCUUUCUAAACCAUAAUCUAUCUCAUUGCUAAGUGAAAUCAUCAACUCAUUCAAUAACUUGAUUGUUAUUGUGUUCUGUCAAUGUUUCUUAGAUCCAAGAGCAGAUAACAUGGCUGUGUUUCUGUGCGUGUCUGUGUCCAGAGGGUUAUUUCAGCCUUGGGUUGCUCUGACAUAGUUGUUCUGGCUGUUGUGUCAUAACUAAGGAAUGCAUUGACAAAAUGGAAUUGGCUUGGAAGCGAGGCAAAGGCUUCUCUCACUGCUGCAGCCGCUAACACAUUAAUGCGACUGGGGGGGCUGACAACAGAGAGGAAGAGAAAAAGAUAGUCCAAAACACAGCGUUGUCCAUUAGGACCCACAUCUGGCUCUGUGGCUGUAGUUUGGCAGGAGAGAGAGCUGAGGAUGUGGCGGUUGGUAGGCGUGGCCUUUCUGUGCCAGUGUGUGAUUGGUCAGCUGCUGGAGGCCAAGGUGAGAGGAGCUCCACCUCGUCUGAUCUGCAGUGUUCCGGGGUUGCCAGGGACACCAGGUAAACCUGGCCCCAACGGGCCUCCAGGGGCCAACGGGAGCGUAGGAAUCCCAGGAAGAGAUGGCAGAGAUGGCAGGAGAGGAGAGAAAGGAGAGAAGGGUGGAGCAGGGGUAAAGGGGAAAGUCGGCCCAACGGGUAAACUUGGCCAGCGGGGUGACCGGGGUCCCGGUGGGAAGAGGGGUCCUGGUGGAGAGAGCGGGGACGGGGGCCUACCGGGUCCUCCAGGGCCCCUUGGGAAGAAAGGGGACAAGGGCCAGCGAGGGCCAAGGGGGAUGGCAGGAGUCUGCCGGUGUGGCAGCCUGGUGCCUAAAGCAGCCUUCUCUGUGGGAAUCACCAGCAGUUACCCUGCUGAGAAGGAACCUAUCAAGUUCAACAAGGUCCUCUUCAAUGAGGGGGGCCACUACAACCCAGAGACGGGCAAGUUCAUAUGUGCCUACCCAGGCAUCUACUACUUCUCCUAUGACAUCACACUGGCCAACAAGCAUCUGGCCAUCGGGCUGGUGCAGAACGGACAGUACCGCAUCAAGACAUUUGACGCAAACACAGGAAACCAUGACGUGGCCUCCGGGUCCUUAGUAAUGUUCCUGAACCCAGAAGACGAGGUGUGGCUGGAGAUCUUCUUCAAGGACCAGAAUGGCCUGUUUGCAGACGCAGGGUGGUCUGACAGCCUGUUCUCUGGAUUCCUGAUCUAUGCAGACACCAACUACCUGGACUCACUAGCAGAGGACUACGCAUAGUGACUUAUUACAUUCACUAAAGAACUGAGAGGACUGAGUUUAUAGCCUCCCCUUGAUGCAUUUACAGUAUCUAUUUCAUCAUGUAUUAUUUAUAUUCUAUAUAAAUACAGUGAGCUCCAAAAGUAUUGGGACAGCCACAUUUUUGUUGUUGUUGUUUUGGCUCUGUAUUCCAGCACAUUGGAUUUGAAAUGAUACAUGAGGUUAAAGUGCAGACUGUCAACUUUAAUUUGAGGAUAUUUUCAUCCAUAUCGGAUGAACCGUUUACAAAUUACAGCACUUUUUGUUCAUAGUCCCCCCAUUUUGGCGGACCAAAAGUAUUGGGACAAAUUCACUUAUAUGUGUAUUAAAGUAGGAAAAAGUUAUGUAUUUGCUCCCUAUUCAUAGCACGCAAUGAUUACAUCAAGCUUCUGACUCUACAAAUUUGUUGGAUGCAUUUGCUGUUUGUUUUGGUUGUGUUCCAGAUUAUUAUGUGGCCAAUAGAAAAUAAUGGUAAAUAAUGUAUUGUGUCAUUUUGGAGUCACUUUUAUUGUAAAUAAGAAUAUAAUAUGUUUCUAAACACUUCUACAUUAAAGUGGAUGCUACCAUGAUUACAGAUAAUCCUGAAUAAAUCAUGAGUAAUGAUGAGUGAGAAAGUUACAGAGGCAUAAAUUUAAAAAUGCUAACCUCCCCAUUAUUGUAAAGGUUGUCUUGGGGGCAUGAUAUUUGUGAGUCUGUAACUUUUUCUCUUAUCAUUAUUCACAAUUCAUUCCGGAUGUGUGCGUAUGACCUUGUGUGUUUUGGGGUAAAGUCAUGUAGGAAACCAUUUUUGUUUGGUGAAAGUAAGCAAUGUUUUUUGGGAGAAAAAUAUCUAAGUAUCUAAGUGAUAGUAAGCUAUGAUUUAUAUGUUUCAUGAAUACAUGUUAUGAUAUUUACUUCAGUCAGUAAUGAGUCUGCCCUGUACCUUAUUUUCAAAAGUAUUGAAUAGUAUUAGUUGAAUACUAUUAGAGUUUAAGGCACGAGUACUGUACUGUUUUUGAGUGUGGUGAUAUGAUAUACAUGCUCAAUCCCAAAAGUGUAAUGUAACACAGGUGUUAAACACAUUACUGAACACUGGCUGUAAUAAACCACUUCAUCCCUAUCAGCACAAUCAUUACACUUCACUAUCUUCAUAAUAUCCCACAUAACACUAUUGGUAUGGCAGAUAGUCUGACUGUCAUCUACUGUAUCUCUACUAUCCAGAGAUUACCAUUGUGGUCUGGUC
rnacentral:lncRNA from 1 species